UGAUCCCCCACACUGGUACUGAGACACGGACCAGACUCCUACGGGAGGCAGCAGUGAGGAAUAUUGGUCAAUGGGUGCAAGCCUGAACCAGCCAUCCCGCGUGAAGGACGACUGCCCUAUGGGUUGUAAACUUCUUUUGUAUAGGGAUAAACCUACUCUCGUGAGGGUAGCUGAAGGUACUAUACGAAUAAGCACCGGCUAACUCCGUGCCAGCAGCCGCGGUAAUACGGAGGGUGCAAGCGUUAUCCGGAUUUAUUGGGUUUAAAGGGUCCGUAGGCGGAUCUGUAAGUCAGUGGUGAAAUCUCACAGCUUAACUGUGAAACUGCCAUUGAUACUGCAGGUCUUGAGUAAAUUUGAAGUGGCUGGAAUAAGUAGUGUAGCGGUGAAAUGCAUAGAUAUUACUUAGAACACCAAUUGCGAAGGCAGGUUACCAAGAUAUAACUGACGCUGAGGGACGAAAGCGUGGGGAGCGAACAGGAUUAGAUACCCUGGUAGUCCACGCCGUAAACGAUGGAUACUAGCUGUUGGGGGCAACUUCAGUGGCUAAGCGAAAGUGAUAAGUAUCCCACCUGGGGAGUACGUUCGCAAGAAUGAAACUCAAAGGAAUUGACGGGGGCCCGCACAAGCGGUGGAUUAUGUGGUUUAAUUCGAUGAUACGCGAGGAACCUUACCAAGACUUAAAUGGGAAUUGACAGCUUUAGAAAUAGAGCUUUCUUCGGACAAUUUUCAAGGUGCUGCAUGGUUGUCGUCAGCUCGUGCCGUGAGGUGUUAGGUUAAGUCCUGCAACGAGCGCAACCCCUGUCACUAGUUGCCAUCAUUCAGUUGGGGACUCUAGUGAGACUGCCUACGCAAGUAGAGAGGAAGGUGGGGAUGACGUCAAAUCAUCACGGCCCUUACGUCUUGGGCCACACACGUAAUACAAUGGCCGGUACAGAGGGCAGCUACACAGCGAUGUGAUGCAAAUCUCGAAAGCCGGUCUCAGUUCGGAUUGGAGUCUGCAACUCGACUCUAUGAAGCUGGAAUCGCUAGUAAUCGCGCAUCAGCCAUGGCGCGGUGAAUACGUUCCCGGGCCUUGUACACACCGCCCGUCAAGCCAUGGAAGCUGGGGGUACCUGAAGUCGGUGACCGUAAAAGGAGCUGCCUAGGGUAAAACUAGUAACUAGGGCUAAGUCGUAACAAGGUAGCCGUACCGGAAGGUGCGGCUG
rnacentral:rRNA from 1 species